GCCGGGAGAGGCGAAACAGGUAGACGCAAGGGACUUAAAAUCCCUCGGCUUCGGCCAUACGGGUUCGACUCCCGUCGUCCGCA
rnacentral:tRNA from 1 species